AGAACGAACGCUGGCGGCAUGCCUAACACAUGCAAGUCGAACGAGACCUUCGGGUCUAGUGGCGCACGGGUGCGUAACGCGUGGGAAUCUGCCCUUGGGUUCGGGAUAACAGUUGGAAACGACUGCUAAUACCGGAUGAUGUCUUCGGACCAAAGAUUUAUCGCCCAAGGAUGAGCCCGCGUAGGAUUAGCUUGUUGGUGAGGUAAGAGCUCACCAAGGCGACGAUCCUUAGCUGGUCUGAGAGGAUGAUCAGCCACACUGGGACUGAGACACGGCCAGACUCCUACGGGAGCAGCAGGUGGGGAAUA
rnacentral:rRNA from 1 species